UACGUAGGGGGCGAGCGUUGUCCGAAGUUACUGGGCGUAAAGCGCGCGUAGGCGGUUCUCUAAGUCUGAGGUGAAAGGUUCGGCGCUCAACGUGAACAGUGCCUUGGAGACUGGGGGACUUGAGUGUGGGAGGGGGCAGUGGAAUUCCGGGUGUAGCGGUGAAAUGCGUAGAUAUCAUUUGGAACGCCAAUGGUGAAAACAGGUAGCUGGGGAUGUGCUGACGCUGGAGACACGAAAGCCAGGGGAGCAAACGGG
rnacentral:rRNA from 1 species